rnacentral:rRNA from 1 species
GACAGAGGGUGCAAACGUUGUUCGGAAUUAUUGGGCGUAAAGCGCGUGUAGGCGGCUUUGCAAGUCGGGUGUGAAAGCUCCUGGCUUAACCGGGAGUGGUCGGUGGAAACUGCCAAUCUGGAGGACGGUAGAGGUAGGUAGAAUUCCCGGUGUAGUGGUGAAAUGCGUAGAGAUCGGGAGGAAUACCUGUGGCGAAGGCGGCCUACUGGGCCGGACCUGACGCUGAGACGCGAAGGCGUGGGGAGCGAACGGG